rnacentral:rRNA from 1 species
AAGUCGUAACAAGGUUUCCGUAGGUGAACCUGCGGAAGGAUCAUUACUGAGAGAGGGGCCACGCGCUCCCGGGGGCUCCGGCCCCCACCUCUUCACCCCGUGCCUACCGUACCUCUGUUGCUUUGGCGGGCCUUGGAGCCCUUCGCCCAUGCCGGCUCCGGGUUUGAUCGCCUGGGCCGGCGAGCGCCCGCCGGAGGCCCUUACAACCCCGUCUACCAGUGAAGUCCGAGUCCAUAUCAAAUAACUAAAACUUUCAACAACGGAUCUCUUGGUUCUGGCAUCGAUGAAGAACGCAGCGAAAUGCGAUAAGUAAUGUGAAUUGCAGAAUUCAGUGAAUCAUCGAAUCUUUGAACGCACAUUGCGCCCCUCGGUAUUCCGGGGGGCAUGCCUGUUCGAGCGUCAUUGCACCCCUCAAGCGUAGCUUGGUCUUGGGUCUCGCCUCCCGGGGCGGCCCCGAAAAUCAGUGGCGGCCCGGUGUGGCUCUUGAGCGCAGUCAAUUCUCUCGCUCGAGCGGCUCGCACCCCGUGGCCGGCCGGCAUCGCCCACUUUCCAAUGAUUGACCUCGGAUCAGGUAGGGAUACCCGCUGAACUUAAGCAUAUCAAUAAGCGGAGGAAAAGAAACCAACAGGGAUUGCCUCAGUAACGGCGAGUGAAGCGGCAAGAGCUCAAAUUUGAAAUCUGGCCCCGUCGGGGUCCGAGUUGUAAUUUGCAGAGGGUGUUUCGGGCGCGGCGCCGGUCUAAGUCCCUUGGAACAGGGCGUCAUAGAGGGUGAGAAUCCCGUACGUGACUGGCGACCAACCUCAUGUGAAACCCCUUCGACGAGUCGAGUUGUUUGGGAAUGCAGCUCAAAAUGGGUGGUAAAUUUCAUCUAAAGCUAAAUACCGGCCAGAGACCGAUAGCGCACAAGUAGAGUGAUCGAAAGAUGAAAAGCACUUUGGAAAGAGAGUCAAACAGUACGUGAAAUUGUUGAAAGGGAAGCGCUUGCAACCAGACCUGUCCGUGGGCGAUCAGCCUCUGUUCUCAGGGGUGCACUCGUCCUCGAUCAGGCCAGCAUCGGUUCGGGCGGCGGGACAAAGGCCUUGGGAACGUAGCUCCUCUCGGGGAGUCUUAUAGCCCUCGGCGCAAUGCCGCCAGCCCGGACCGAGGACCGCGCUUCGGCUAGGAUGCUGGCGUAAUGGUUGUAAGCGACC